rnacentral:tRNA from 1 species
UGGGGAGUCGCCAAGCGGUAAGGCACGGGGUUUUGGUCCCCGCAUCCGAGGGUUCGAAUCCUUCCUCCCCAGCCA